CAAUAUGUCAGCGGCAGACGGGUGAGUAACGCGUGGGAACGUACCUUUUGGUUCGGAACAACACAGGGAAACUUGUGCUAAUACCGGAUAAGCCUUACGGGAAAGAUUUAUCGCCGAAAGAUCGGCCCGCGUCUGAUUAGCUAGUUGGUGAGGUAAUGGCUCACCAAGGCGACGAUCAGUAGCUGGUCUGAGAGGAUGAUCAGCCACAUUGGGACUGAGACACGGCCCAA
rnacentral:rRNA from 1 species